ensembl:lncRNA
ACACAUGUUCAAAUACAAAUAGUCUUAUAGAACCUAAGGUAUUUAAAGUUGCUGAAAAAAUAAAUAAAGUUGUCCACUAAGUAUGCUAUUUCAUUAAGUGAAAUAACAAAAUUUUAAAUGUUAUAUUUUCUGUACCCAUUUAUUCAUACUGAAGCUAAAAAUGUACUGAAAGGUUUUUGCACAUUUCAUUGAACUUCUCUUUGAGAACAUUUUAAAUUUACAAGUUUGUUCCUGGAAGAUAACAGAUUAAAUAUAUACAUUUUCAUUUAAAAUAAUGGAAUUAUGUUUCUUCAUAUAUUUCCCACUGUAAACACUCAGUACCUCUCAAAUGCAAUGUGAACUGCAAAAAUAUUAAAGGAUAUCAAUAACCUGGCACUGAAUUAACUAUUUAAACUAUAACCAAAUUUCAGUUCUGUGUGCUUGAUGGUUCUUCAUUGAACAACUCUACAGAGUGGCAUAGAAUAAGAAAAUGUUACCAGAAUGCCAUUAGAGUUUCACUGCAGGGGAAAUCAUAUAAUGUCCAAAAAUUUUCUCUAGCAUAUCAUGACCUGCUUCUCCAAUGUCAGUUAUUAUACCCAUUUUGAGUCUGUAAUAAAUUAUAAGCUGAAAAUGUACUGUUUUAAUAUUAGGAUCCAUCAACAACGAAAUAUAGAGAAAGUAAGGAAAUGAAGUUCAAGAUUUCAUUGAAUUUCUCUCUAGAGCCACAAAAAUUGGCUCUGUCCUACUUUGCUUAAUAUUACAAUUGCUGUUUUAAGAAACCUUUCCAGUCCUCUAGGAUUUUAUGCAUGCCAAGGAUAAUUUAAAUACUUACAUACUUCAGAGCCUAAAAAAGUUUAGAUGUUAGAUCAAUAUGAAAACUGUUUAUUUAAUGAAUNNNNNNNNNNNNNNNNNNNNNNNNNNNNNNNNNNNNNNNNNNNNNNNNNNNNNNNNNNNNNNNNNNUAGGAACUUCAUUAUGAAAUGGAUUUCUCUUUCUGUCCUAUCCAACUUCAACAAAGGCGUGUUCUGAAACUUUGAAAUCAAUGAUGAGAUCAGUGAUAGAGGGGCUUAUAUGGGUAAUGAUAACAUACCAUACAAAUAUUUGUUAAAGGUUUCACAGUGGAAUUAUAAUGGAAAAAAAGUAUGCUGUGUUUCUCAAGAACACUCUGUGCUUUUAAAAUCAAAAAAAUAAAAAUGUAUUUUCAAUCUAUCUCAUGUUAAUUAACAAGUUGUUCUAAAAUAUUAGCAAAAGUCCCAUCUUAUCCUGUCUGCCUACUUGGGAGUGUCUUAAGGAAAAUGCGGAAAUUACAAAGGCUAGGUAGGCCCAAGAGAAACGCUCAAAUUUCCUAGUUAAGGCUCUGCUUUUUCUCUAGAGAACUGAGAUCUAGAACAUACAUUACACACAGUCCACAUUUUAGGAAAGAACAAGGAAAGGGCAGUUUCAGGUGAAGUGUAGGUCAUUUCCAAGGCAAUCAGCAUAGCUGAAAGUGACGUUGAGUUUUUGCAGAAUCCAACACUUCACAGACAGUAAAAGUUUAAAAAGGUCACAGUUUCCUCUAUCCUUUUGGAACUCCAGAAUGUUUCAUUAAUUUUGCCCAAGCAAGUGAUAGAACUGGUGAAGAAAAAUCCAAUACCUUUGUGCAAACCCUUUAAAUUUGAUUCUGAGGCUACUGUGAUUGGGUUUCAGGGAACAUUGGGACACAAGGCAUCUUUAGUUUACAAUAUCUAGGGCUCUGAUUACUUUUAGCUUGAAACUCUCUUGCGAAGCUCUUCCAAUCUUACCGCAUCCCUCCCCCCGCCCCCUCCUUUCCCUCCU